GUGGAGAAAUAAACAAGAGGCGA
rnacentral:snRNA from 1 species